rnacentral:rRNA from 1 species
AGUGGAUGGGGAGCAACCUAGUUGUGCGUGUGUAAAGGUAGUGCCAAGAAAAGCGGUGAUCAUGAUGAAAAUCAAUUCCCGGUACCCGAAACCGACACAGGUGGGCAAGUAGAGAAUACUAAGGGGCGCGAGGUAACUCUCUCCAAGGAACUCGGCAAAAUGACCCCGUAACUUAGGGAGAAGGGGUGCCACCGAGAGGUGGUCGCAGUGAAGAGGCCCAGGCGACUGUUUAGCAAAAACAUAGGUCUCUGCAAACUCGAAAGAGGAGGUAUAGGGGCUGACGCCUGCCCAGUGCCGGAAGGUUAAAAAAGUUGGUCAGUCUUAGGAUGAAGCUAGCGACUGAAGCCCCGGUGAACGGCGGCCGUAACUAUAACGGUCCUAAGGUAGCGAAAUUCCUUGUCGGGUAAGUUCCGACCCGCACGAAAGGCGUAACGAUCUGGGCGCUGUCUCGGAGAGAGGCUCGGCGAAAUAGGAUUGUCUGUGAAGAUACGGACUACCUGCAUUUGGACAGAAAGACCCUAUGAAGCUUUACUGUAGCUUGGAAUUGUGUUCGGGCUUCCUGUGCGCAGGAUAGGUGGGAGGCGAAGAAGGUAUUCUUGUGGGGAUACUGGAGCCAACGGUGAGAUACCACUCUCAGGAGGCUAGAAUUCUAACUUAAUUAAGGACAGUUUCAGGUGGGUAGUUUGACUGGGGCGGUCGCCUCCAAAAAGGUAACGGAGGCGUACAAAGGUUCCCUCAGACUGGUUGGAAAUCAGUCGCAGAGUGCAAAGGCAGAAGGGAGCUUGACUGCGAGAAGUACAGUUCGAGCAGGGUGGAAACACGGUCUUAGUGAUCCGACGGUGCUGUGUGGAAGGGCCGUCGCUCAACGGAUAAAAGUUACUCUAGGAUAACAGGCUGAUCUCCCCCAAGAGUUCACAUCGACGGGGAGGUUUGGCACCUCGAUGUCGGCUCAUCGCAACCUGGGGCGGAAGUACGUCCCAAGGGUUGGGCUGUUCGCCCAUUAAAGCGGUACGUGAGCUGGGUUCAGAACGUCGUGAGACAGUUCGGUCCAUAUCCGAUGUAGGCGUGAGAAUAUUGAGAGGAGCCUUCCUUAGUACGAGAGGACCGGGAAGGACGCACCGCUGGUGUACCUGUUAUGAUGCCAAUUGUAAACGCAGGGUAGCCAAGUGCGGAGAGGAUAACCGCUGAAAGCAUCUAAGUGGGAAGCCCACCUCAAGAUGAGUAUUCUGGUGUAAGGUCACGGGAAGACGACCCGUAAAUAGGCACGAGGUGGAAGUGCAGAGAUGUAUGAAGCCGAAGUGUACUAAUAGACCGUCGGCUUGACCG